CAAGUCGAACGAUGAAGCCCAGCUUGCUGGGUGGAUUAGUGGCGAACGGGUGAGUAACACGUGAGUAACCUGCCCUUGACUCUGGGAUAAGCGCUGGAAACGGCGUCUAAUACCGGAUACGACCUGCCCCGGCAUCGGGUGCGGGUGGAAAGUUUUUCGGUCAAGGAUGGACUCGCGGCCUAUCAGCUUGUUGGUGAGGUAAUGGCUCACCAAGGCGACGACGGGUAGCCGGCCUGAGAGGGUGACCGGCCACACUGGGACUGAGACACGGCCCAGACUCCUACGGGAGGCAGCAGUGGGGAAUAUUGCACAAUGGGCGAAAGCCUGAUGCAGCAACGCCGCGUGGGGGAUGACGGCCUUCGGGUUGUAAACCUCUUUUAGUAGGGAAGAAGGACUUCGGUUUGACGGUACCUGCAGAAAAAGCACCGGCUAACUACGUGCCAGCAGCCGCGGUAAUACGUAGGGUGCAAGCGUUGUCCGGAAUUAUUGGGCGUAAAGAGCUCGUAGGCGGUUUGUCGCGUCUGCUGUGAAAACCCGAGGCUCAACCUCGGGCCUGCAGUGGGUACGGGCAGACUAGAGUGCGGUAGGGGAGAAUGGAAUUCCUGGUGUAGCGGUGGAAUGCGCAGAUAUCAGGAGGAACACCGAUGGCGAAGGCAGUUCUCUGGGCCGUUACUGACGCUGAGGAGCGAAAGCGUGGGGAGCGAACAGGAUUAGAUACCCUGGUAGUCCACGCCGUAAACGUUGGGAACUAGAUGUGGGGACCUUUCCACGGUCUCCGUGUCGCAGCUAACGCAUUAAGUUCCCCGCCUGGGGAGUACGGCCGCAAGGCUAAAACUCAAAGGAAUUGACGGGGGCCCGCACAAGCGGCGGAGCAUGCGGAUUAAUUCGAUGCAACGCGAAGAACCUUACCAAGGCUUGACAUAUACCGGAAACUUCCAGAAAUGGUUGCCCCGCAAGGUCGGUAUACAGGUGGUGCAUGGUUGUCGUCAGCUCGUGUCGUGAGAUGUUGGGUUAAGUCCCGCAACGAGCGCAACCCUCGUUCUAUGUUGCCAGCACGUCAUGGUGGGAACUCAUAGGAGACUGCCGGGGUCAACUCGGAGGAAGGUGGGGAUGACGUCAAAUCAUCAUGCCCCUUAUGUCUUGGGCUUCACGCAUGCUACAAUGGCCGGUACAAAGGGCUGCGAUACCGUAAGGUGGAGCGAAUCCCAAAAAGCCGGUCUCAGUUCGGAUUGAGGUCUGCAACUCGACCUCAUGAAGUCGGAGUCGCUAGUAAUCGCAGAUCAGCAACGCUGCGGUGAAUACGUUCCCGGGCCUUGUACACACCGCCCGUCAAGUCAUGAAAGUCGGUAACACCCGAAGCCGGUGGCCUAACCCCUUGUGGGAGGGAGCCGUCGAAGGUGGGAUCGGUGAU
rnacentral:rRNA from 1 species